rnacentral:rRNA from 1 species
GCGACAGGCUUAACACAUGCAAGUCGAGGGGCAGCGGGGGUGAUGGCUUGCCAUCACCUGCCGGCGACCGGCGCACGGGUGAGUAACACGUAUGCACCUGCCCGCCACAGGGGGAUAAGCGGAAGAAAUUCCGUCUAAUACCGCGUGACGCGGCGCCGGGGCAUCCCGGUGCCGCCAAAGGGAUUACCGGUGGCGGAUGGGCAUGCGGCGCAUUAGCUAGUCGGCGGGGUAACGGCCCACCGAGGCGACGAUGCGUAGGGGUUCUGAGAGGAAGGUCCCCCACACUGGUACUGAGACACGGACCAGACUCCUACGGGAGGCAGCAGUGAGGAAUAUUGGUCAAUGGGCGCGAGCCUGAACCAGCCAAGUCGCGUGAGGGAUGACGGUCCUACGGAUUGUAAACCUCUUUUGCCGGGGAGCAAGCGUGCGUUCGUGAACGCGCGUCGAGAGUACCCGGAGAAAAAGCAUCGGCUAACUCCGUGCCAGCAGCCGCGGUAAUACGGAGGAUGCGAGCGUUAUCCGGAUUUAUUGGGUUUAAAGGGUGCGUAGGCGGGAUGCCAAGUCAGCGGUAAAAAUGCGGUGCUCAACGCCGUCGAGCCGUUGAAACUGGCGUUCUUGAGUGGGCGAGAAGUAUGCGGAAUGCGUGGUGUAGCGGUGAAAUGCAUAGAUAUCACGCAGAACUCCGAUUGCGAAGGCAGCAUACCGGCGCCCUACUGACGCUGAGGCACGAAAGCGUGGGUAUCGAACAGGAUUAGAUACCCUGGUAGUCCACGCAGUAAACGAUGAAUGCUAACUUCCGCUCGAAUGAGCGCUGGGCGGUACAGCGAAAGCGUUAAGCAUUCCACCUGGGGAGUACGCCGGCAACGGUGAAACUCAAAGGAAUUGACGGGGGCCCGCACAAGCGGAGGAACAUGUGGUUUAAUUCGAUGAUACGCGAGGAACCUUACCCGGGCUCAAACGCAGGAUGACGGGUCCCGAAAGGGGUCUUUCUUCGGACAUUCUGCGAGGUGCUGCAUGGUUGUCGUCAGCUCGUGCCGUGAGGUGUCGGCUUAAGUGCCAUAACGAGCGCAACCCCUGUCCACAGUUGCCAGCAGGUAAAGCUGGGGACUCUGUGGAGACUGCCGGCGCAAGCUGCGAGGAAGGCGGGGAUGACGUCAAAUCAGCACGGCCCUUACGUCCGGGGCGACACACGUGUUACAAUGGCAGGUACAGCGGGAUGCCACGGGGCGACCCGGCGCUGAACCCGAAAACCUGUCUCAGUUCGGAUUGGAGUCUGCAACCCGACUCCAUGAAGCUGGAUUCGCUAGUAAUCGCGCAUCAGCCACGGCGCGGUGAAUACGUUCCCGGGCCUUGUACACACCGCCCGUCAAGCCAUGGAAGCCGGGGGUACCUGAAGUGCGUGACCGCGAGGAGCGCCCUAGGGUAAAACCGGUGACUGGGGCUAAGUCGUAACAAGGUA